CAGCGCCACGAGUGGUAACCGCGAUUAUUGGGCCUAAAGCGUCCGUAGCUUAUUUGACAACUCUUUUGUGAAACUGUUAAGCUUAACUUAACAAUGUGCAAAAGAAACUAUCAGGUUAGAGACCGGGAAGAGAUAGAAGUAUUCUUUGGGGAGCGGUUAAAUGUUUUAAUCCUUAGAAGACUACCAAUGGCGAAGGCAUCUAUCUAGAACGGGUCUGACAGUGAGGGACGAAAGCCAGGGGAGCGAACCGGAUUAGAUACCCGAGUAGUCC
rnacentral:rRNA from 1 species